rnacentral:sRNA from 1 species
UGCCUGGUACAGAUCUGUGAGAAGUACCUGCCCGGCUACUACAGCGAGAAACUGGAGGCGAUCCAGCUGGACGGGGAGAUCCUUUUCUCGCUGUUGCAGAAGGUGUCACCGGUGGCCCACAAGCACCUCAGCCGUCAGAAGAUCGACCCGCUCCUCUAUAUGACAGAAUGGUUCAUGUGCGCCUUCUCCCGAACCUUGCCCUGGAGCUCUGUGCUGCGUGUCUGGGACAUGUUCUUCUGUGAAGGGGUCAAGAUCAUCUUCCGGGUGGGGCUGGUGCUGCUGAAGCACGCGCUGGGCUCCCCUGAGAAGGUCAAAGCCUGCCAGGGCCAGUACGAGACCAUCGAGCGACUGCGGAGCCUCAGCCCCAAGAUCAUGCAGGAGGCCUUUCUGGUCCAGGAGGUAUAGCCCAUGCCUGCCCCUUAUCAUGGGGAGGGAGGAAGACUGGUGGGGGUCCUUUGAAGGGGGUCCCGCUAACCCUCAGCCCCUGAGGGUGGAUCCUAUGCCAGGACCAUUGCUAGGCAACACAGAACAUGUGGGUGGACCUCAUCCUUCUGUCUGGUGAAGAGCAGGCUUGGCUCUGCAGGGCCUUCUGGAUCCGAGCCGCUUGGGAAUGAAGAAGAAUGUUGACACACAGCCCC